UUUAUAAUUGUUACUAUCGCAAUUAUUUUAUAGAAGUAAUUUUAAGUGUAAAUUAUUAAAACAUUUUACAUAGUCUUUUAAAUAGAAUAGAUAGAAAAACCAGUGUAUGUAAUCAAACAUAAUAUUUAUAAUUGUGUUUCGGAAUGCAAAAUCAUCAGUAGUCCCUUGAUUGUCUGAUUCAAUUUUGAAGGGUCAUUUGUAACCAAUGAAAUGUUAAAAAGCACAGCACACAACAAUAAUGUUGGAUAUUGUGAUCAGUUUGUUGCCCAACCCUCUGCUUAGGCACAGAAACCUCCGCUCAGUUUCCAUCUCCCAAAUGUCCUUUCCACCAUAUUUCUCGUUUCAAUGUGUAGGGUCGCAUGGUCAACAAUGGAUCAGUGAUACACAGACGAUCACACACACACACAUCCGCGCCAUUUAUUAAUGUAACACUAAACCAAAUACGUAACCGUGUCUCGUUUGCGAACCUCGUGACUCUUCCGCAGUCGCCGCGCUGGUGCGCUCACCAACAGACGCUAGAGCAAAAACUGUCGCUAAAGUUGAAUUUUGUUUAUAUCAUAAUCUACUGGUGUUGUCCUAUUUAUUUUAUUCUAGUUGUUUGUGUACAUUCAUGUAGUAUGAUUGAGAGCUAUAGUUAUCGGCACGGAUAUUGAGCUCUCGGCGGAAGAGUGGGGGUCGCUUUGCGCACUGUACACAUAAGGCAAUAAACCAAUAAAUCGCUUCUGCGCAGGUGAAGGUCCGGGCUCAAUAUCCGUGCCGAUAACUAAAAUAUCUCAAAAACUACAGAUACGUAUGUGGGUGAGGCUCACAAAAAAUGUACUUAUUCAAUAUUUUUCACGUGCCAAAAUUCAACGUAAGAUUUUUUUUAUGUUGGUUGUUUUCAUAAAUAAUCUGAUUAUUUUUCUGUAUUUGGCAUUAUUCACUUGUUAAUAUUACUCGAUUUAAAUUGAGAAUGCUUAUAAUCCAAGCAAUAAAAAACGAUUACAAAAAGCUGGUGAGAUUCAGUUUCAUAGAAAAAUAAAAUGUGUUCACGCGCAGUACAUUGUCUUUUUCUUCAUCAUUUCAUUGUUUCAAUAAAGUAUCGUAAUUUCUUAAUGUUAUACUAAAUGUAAUUGUAUAAAGCUACUGAUUCAAUAAUAGUUGUAAUAAAACUAGUAAAAAAAUUAAUUAAAACGGUUGAAAAACAAUAUGCAUUCCAUCUGAUUCACGUGUGUUACAAAAACUGUAUUGAAUAGUAGCUUUUUUAGAAAAAGCAAUAGCAACACAUCAUUAUAUUUUUUUACAAUGGCAACUUUAUGACUUUUACAGUGAAACGUCAUUGUUGUGUCAGACAUCUUGGUUUAGAAGCAGUAGGCAGUACUUGGUGUGUGUUAUUUUUCGUCAUUGCAUUUUAGAGACUUUUGGAAGCAAUAUAGCAAGAUGCCACUCACACCUGCCGAAAGGCAGAAACUCUAUCGAGAACGCCUGAAAGAAGUAAAUCCUGAAAAAUUUAAAUCGCAGCAAGAACAAAAAGGAAUAGAAAAAAAAAAACUGAAUUUCCUUCAUCUGAACAAGAAAUCAUAAGAAAACAGUGGAGAGAGAGAAAGAAGAAGAGUAAGGAACAACCUAAGCCUGAAGUAGAGCCUGAAAGUUCAGAAGGACAUGGUCAAUUUUUAACACGGGAGAGAAAUACUAGAAGAGUGAUUUAUAGGCUGAAAAAUGAAAACACAAAACUACAGGAGGAAUCAAAAACAUUGAAAAAGACGUUGAAAAAAAUUAGGCAAAGAUUGAAUCGUUCUAUAGAUAAAAAUAAUGAGUUUUUUGCAAUUAUUGAAGAGAAAAACCAAAUGAUUCGUAGCUUUGAAGACAGGUUAAGCCCAAUUACCAAAAAAGGUGAAGUCCUUGAAGAAAUGACCCCCUUUUCGAAAACGUGCGCUUACAUUGACCAAAAUUUACCAAAUAUUCGACCCGAAGAAAGAGAAAGCGUGAAAAGGGUUCUGCUAGAACAUAAUGUAAUAGCGGAAACUAUAAAAGACAGCUAUAAAAGUAAAAACUCUGAAGAAAAACGAUUAAUGAAAGAUGUUUUUACCAAAAAUAAUAAAAUUAACAAAUACAGUAUGAAAACUAGGAUGGCUGCCUAUUUAGGCCUUAAAGGAAAAAUUCGUCACACUAAACAGAAAAAUAAAACCUUAUUAAUA